AGAGUUUGAUCCUGGCUCAGGACGAACGCUGGCGGCGUGCUUAACACAUGCAAGUCGAACGGAGAACUUUCUUCGGAAUGUUCUUAGUGGCGAACGGGUGAGUAACGCGUAGGCAACCUGCCCUCUGGUUGGGGACAACAUUCCGAAAGGGAUGCUAAUACCGAAUGAGAUCCUCUUUCCGCAUGGAGAGAGGAUGAAAGAUGGCCUCUACUUGUAAGCUAUCGCCAGAAGAUGGGCCUGCGUCUGAUUAGCUAGUAGGUGAGGUAACGGCUCACCUAGGCGAUGAUCAGUAGCCGGUCUGAGAGGAUGAACGGCCACAUUGGGACUGAGACACGGCCCAAACUCCUACGGGAGGCAGCAGUGGGGAAUCUUCCGCAAUGGACGAAAGUCUGACGGAGCAACGCCGCGUGAGUGAUGAAGGCCUUCGGGUUGUAAAACUCUGUUGUCAGGGACGAAAGCACCGAUCUAUAAUACAUUUUGGUGUUGACGGUACCUGACGAGGAAGCCACGGCUAACUACGUGCCAGCAGCCGCGGUAAUACGUAGGUGGCAAGCGUUGUCCGGAAUUAUUGGGCGUAAAGAGCAUGUAGGCGGGCUUUUAAGUCCGACGUGAAAAUGCGGGGCUUAACCCCGUAUGGCGUUGGAUACUGGAGGUCUUGAGUGCAGGAGAGGAAAGGGGAAUUCCCAGUGUAGCGGUGAAAUGCGU
rnacentral:rRNA from 1 species